rnacentral:rRNA from 1 species
GACGAACGCUGGCGGCGUGCUUAACACAUGCAAGUCGAACGGAGUGGCGAACGGGUGAGUAACACGUCGGUGAUCUGCCUUGCACUUCGGGAUAAGCUUGGGCAACUGGGUCUAAUACCGGAUAGUGCAAGAUGAGGUCGCGGCCUAUCAGCUUGUUUGUGGGGUAAUGGCCUACCAAGGCGUCGACGGGUAGCCGGCCUGAGUGGGGGUACGGCCACAUUGGGACUGGGGUACGGCCCAGAGUGCUACGGGAGGCAGCAGUGGGGAAUAUGGCACAAUGGGCGGAAGCCUGAUGCAGCGACGCCGCGUGGGGGAAGAAGGCCUUCGGGUUGUAAACUCCGUUCGACAGGGACGCGGUACCUGUAUAAGAAGCACCGGCUAACUACGUGCCAGCAGCCGCGGUAAUAC